AAUUGUGCCAAUGCUGAGUAGGAAAUGGACAAAAACUUGAUAGAAUUUUAUUAAGUGAUUCUCCUUCAGUGAUUCUUUGAAGCAGUUUUUCCUGGUAAAAAUUUAUGCAAUUUGCGUAGACAUGCUCAGAUUUUAAAACUGUUUAAAGAAUGAAUGAACGCGUAGAAAAACAUAGAGCAAGGAAAAAGAAGUUGGAGGAAAUAAGGAUUUUAACAGGGCAAAAUUUUGUGACAGAAAUGAAAACUACAACUAUUUCACUUUACAUUCUUCCUUUUAAACAUUUAAUCUUUUUAUUUUUCCAUUAUCUUACACAUCUUCCAUAAUAUUUAGAGACGUCAACGUCUGGAGACUCAACGUAUGAAAAAUCUAAAAUUGAAGACAAAAAGAAAAAAAAGAUUUUAAAGGAAAGAAAUCUGUGAAACCUAUUUGAAUUAAAGAACAAGAAGAAAAAGAAGUUAUUGUUUGAUAAUUUCGUAAAGAAAAAUGAAUUAAAAGGGACAUCUAAGAAUCAAGAGUGUUAAAAAGGAUAGUAAAAGAUAUAAAAGUCCCUGCUAAUAUGAAUAUCUGCACGAAGAACGAUCAACAGAUUUUACGUCACACCUCUAAUGACAUUCAAGAGCAAAAAUUACUCGAUUCAUCUACAUGUGCAGAAUGUACUGAAGAAAGUUAUGGUUGAUGCAAAUAAAGGAAACUCCAGUUUGUAAACUGAUACAUUUUUGGCAAACCAUAAUAUUUCUUUGCUAAUUAC